UUCGGGGAACAACUCCACUUCCCUCAGGACAAAUCCUCCUUUUCUUCUCUGCCCACCGGUACUGCUUCAGAGUUGGUAAAAUUCCAUUUGGCUGCUCGGGAGCUGGUGGAGCUGGGGGAAGGAGAACCCAGCGAAAACAACAUGUUUUUCCCCCCGGUUAAUGCAUUUUUCAGAUACUCCUUUUCGCUCUUCUUAAAAACAAAACGGCUCCUCUGCAUAAAUUCCCGAUUUGUCAUUCUCUCCAGCAACACAGGCUGCAAGGAAAAAAAUUUGCCGACCCCUGCUGUGAGGAAUGACAAGAGGCGGAGGUGGGGAGCUGGGUGAGCUCCAGAGGUGGCAGGAGAGGGGCCCAUAAAGCCAGAGGCGGGCAGAGGAGCGUGGACAAAGGAUGCUGGUGUCUGAGCUCCGGCUCAUCAAAUCCCAGUUGGCCGGGGGCUCAGAGGGCGGGGAAGAGUUGGUACACAGAGGCUUUCCUGCAGCCGCGUCCUUUCUUCCCAGGGCCUGGGGACGGCCCCUGCCCCGGUGUGAUGGCUGCUAGAACAGGAGGCAGGGUAAUGGCUGUGCAAAGAGCAGUCUGAGCUCAGGAGGAGCCGAGGGGUGCGGGGCCCGCGGGCUCCCGGUUCUGUUCAAGCCACAGCGGAACCAAUUCCCUCCACUCUCCUAAUUCGCACCAGUGCCACCGCAUCCGUCCGGAAACAAACCACCACCUGGAAGCCAGGAGGCUCUGCUGGGCAUCUUGUGACCUGCAGGCACCAGCUGGAUCCCCAAGGGUCCUUGGAUGGG